GUAAACAUCAUGUACUACACAUAAUGUACUAAUAAACCAAAGAAAAUUAUAGAAACUUAAAUAAAUAAAAAUUUAUGAAUUGGUACCAGUGGCUUGACAGAAAGUUCCCAAGACAAUAAUUAGCAUUAGUUUUUUAAAUGUUGCAUUUCUUCAUUCCCUUCAUAUUCUGGUUCAUAAUGUGUGGAAAACCGGAGCAACUGAGUUGAAAAGUGCUUCAGGAAAGAUGAGCAAUUUAGAAUGUGAAGAAGUCUUAACAAUACCUUAAUCAAUGUAUUUGGCUCCUAUUUUCCUUUUUACAUGUACACAACAGCAAUGUAUGAUUUAAAAUGUAUGUCUGAAUAAGUGUAAAAGAAAUUAUUCAGUAAUAAUACAUAGCACCGUGUCUAGCUUAAUUGGCAAUGCCUUUUCUUUCUAAGAGAUAUGUAAACAGUUCAUCUGGUGGAGUCUUAACUUUAAUAAAAUAUGGCGGUGAAGCCUGAUGCUCCCUAGCUCUUUCUUUCUGUUUCCUUAAAUGUUUGUGAGAGUACAGAUGGAGGUCAGUUCUGAGGGUUUCUGUGGACAGAAGCCAUGCUACAGGCUUUCCAAAUAUUCUCUCCACCAAUCUCACACUGGCUUCAUGGGGAGGCACCAUUACUUUCCCAUUUAAUGUAGAGCAGACUGAAAUGUCUUGCUCAAGUCACAUGGAUUGUAUCAAUUCCUCCCUGAAAUAGGGGAGAACCACAAAACUGACUUUCUCCAGGUGACAUAAACUUUCUAGAAUCUGCCAAUGAGUGGUCCUAUGUCUAGUUCCAUGACUUGGGGCCACAUGGCAAAGGUACAAUGAUUUGAAACCUCACUUAUACCUCAAGAAAGACUAGAAGUAUAUAACAAAAUAAAAUCAGAAACUUUGGAGUUGGACCUGGUAUGAAUCUCAUCUCUACUAGUUACUAAUUUUGUGAUUUUUGGCAAACUACUUAAGCACUCUGAGCUUCAGUUUCUUCUGCUGUAAAUGCAAUCAGUACUGUCUACCUCAAUGAGUUGCAUGAGGGCUAAAUAGGUCAAGCAUUCAUUUAAUUAACAAACAUCCACAGCGUCUACCUCAUGCUAGGCACUGUAUUAUAUAAGUGAAUGCUACAAAUAAGCCUCUAGUAGGCUGCCAGGGACACCGUUUGUGGUUUUGUUAUUGUUUUUCUGUACUUACUUCCUCUCAUACCAGUGCCUCUUUUUCUUUAGGUGAGUUUCUUCCACCCCAUGUCUACAAGACUGCUGUAAUCAGAUGUCCUGUUCUUUCCUGGACUGAGGGGUGAAGACCCUAAAAUGCAGAGAGGAUGACUGCUUUCCUGCUAUCACAUGGCCACACAGUAGCAGAGCCAGGAUGUCAGGAUGAUUGCCCUGUUUCCAGUUUGAAGCAAGUAUAAGAAAAGUUGCUGAAUAACUUUGUUCAUAUCUUUAAUAGAUAUGUAUUUUCUUUUAUGUUACUACAUACCAGGAUUGGAAUUGUUAUGUCCCAGUUUUAAUUGAUAAUGAAAAACAGUUUUCCAAAAUACUUGGACAACUUAUUAUGACACUAUUAAUAUGUGAAUGUUUCAGUUAUUCUGUAUCUUUGACAACACUUGAUAUAGUCAUUCAUACUGAUUUUAGUUAUUCUGGUGGGUCUGUAGUGGAAUUCAUUUGUGGUUUUAUCUUGAAUUUUCCUUAUAACUAUUUUUUCCCUAUAAAAUUGAGCACCUUCCCAUGUACUUGGCCAUAUGAUUGGCUUUUUUAAUGCAGUAACUGUUCAAGUAUUUUGCCUUUAUAAAAUUGGGCUGCUUGUAUUGUCUAACUGAUUUUUGGAAGGAAUUAUUUACAUUCUUGGUAUAUAAAUUUGUUGGAUAUGUGCAUUAUAAAUACUACCUUCCAGUCUGUGUUUUUUUUAAUUUGUUUUUUAAUGAAAAGGAAUUCCUAACAUCAAUAAAGUCUAUUUUAUCAAAGUUUUAAAAAGUAUUUUUAUGUUCUAUUUCAAACAUCUUUUUUCAUAUCAAAGCCAGGAAGUUAUUUUUCUGUAGUUUCUCCUACAAACUUGAAUGAUUUAAACAUUACAGUUAGGAUUUUAACACACUUGGAAUUAAUUCUCAUGCAUGGUGUGAGGUAGGGAUCAAUAUUCCUUUUCUGUCCCACACCUACAUUCAAUUUUCCUUCAACAUUUAUUAAAAGGCCUGUCUUUUUCCUAAUGAGUUAAGGACUGUAAAUCAAGUGACUAUAUGUGAGGUCUAUUUCCAGACCGUAUAAUCUCUUCAUUUUUCUUUUUCUUUCUUUUUUUUUUUUUUUUGGUACCGGUGAUUGAACCUUGCAAGGCAGGCGGAGGAACCACUGAGCUAAAUCACCGGCCCUCAUUUUUCUAAAUUAGCAACAAUAUGAUACUUACU
ensembl:lncRNA